rnacentral:rRNA from 1 species
UUUCCGGUUGAUCCUGCCGGACCUGACUGCUAUCGGAUUGAUACUAAGCCAUGCGAGUCAUUGUAGCAAUACAAGGCAUACGGCUCAGUAACGCGUAGUCAACCUAACCUAUGGACGGGAAUAACCUCGGGAAACUGAGAAUAAUGCCCGAUAGAACAUUAUGCCUGGAAUGGUUUAUGUUCCAAAUGAUUUAUCGCCGUAGGAUGGGACUGCGGCCUAUCAGUUUGUUGGUGAGGUAAUGGCCCACCAAGACUAUUACAGGUACGGGCUCUGAGAGGAGUAGCCCGGAGAUGGGUACUGAGACACGGACCCAGGCCCUAUGGGGCGCAGCAAGCGAGAAAACUUUGCAAUGUGCGAAAGCACGACAAGGUUAAUCCGAGUGGUUUCUGCUAAAGAAAACUUU